rfam:Bacteroides fragilis NCTC 9343, complete genome
ACGGCGGAUUCCGAAAAGCCGAAGAAAGAGUAGGAA